CCUACGGGAGGCAGCAGUGAGGAAUAUUGGUCAAUGGACGCAAGUCUGAACCAGCCAUGCCGCGUGCAGGAAGACGGCUCUAUGAGUUGUAAACUGCUUUUGUACGAGGGUAAACGCAGAUACGCGUAUCUGUCUGAAAGUAUCGUACGAAUAAGGAUCGGCUAACUCCGUGCCAGCAGCCGAGGUAAUACGGAGGAUUCAAGCGUUAUCCGGAUUUAUUGGGUUUAAAGGGUGCGUAGGCGGUCGGAUAAGUUAGAGGUGAAAUCCCGAGGCUCAACUGCGGAAUUGCCUCUGAUACUGGUCGGCUAGAGAGUAGUAGAGGUAGGCGGAAUGUAUGGUGUAGCGGUGAAAUGCGUAGAGAUCAGGCAGAACACCGGUUGCGAAGGCAGCUUACCGGACUACGACUGACGUUGAGGCACGAAAGCGUGGGGAGCAAACAGGAUUAGAUACCCUUGUAGUC
rnacentral:rRNA from 1 species